rnacentral:rRNA from 1 species
CAGCCGCCGCGGGAAUACGAAGGGUGCAAGCGUUAAUCGGAAUUACUGGGCGUAAAGCGUGCGUAGGCGGUUUGUUAAGUCUGCUGUGAAAUCCCCGGGCUCAACCUGGGAAUGGCAGUGGAUACUGGCAAGCUAGAGUGUGUCAGAGGAUGGUGGAAUUCCCGGUGUAGCGGUGAAAUGCGUAGAGAUCGGGAGGAACAUCAGUGGCGAAGGCGGCCAUCUGGGACAACACUGACGCUGAGGCACGAAAGCUAGGGGAGCAAACAGGAUUAGAUACCCCAGUAGUCCCUGUCUCUUAUAC